GUACUGGGUUCAGCAGUACCUACAUUAAAAUUAGAACGAUAAGGAGAGGUUAACACGGUCCCUGCUCAAGAAUGAAAUGGGAAUUCAUGAAGACUUCUGUAACUUA